CCUAUGGGUGGCAGCAGUGAGGAAUAUUGGUCAAUGGGCUCGAGCCUGAACCAGCCAAGUAGCGUGAAGGAUGACUGCCCUACGGGUUGUACACUUCUUUUAUAAAGGAAUAAAGUGAGGCACGUGUGCCUUUUUGUAUGUACUUUAUGAAUAAGGAUCUGCUAACUCCGUGCCAGCAGCCGCGGUAAUACGGAGGAUCCGAGCGUUAUCCGGAUUUAUUGUGUUUAAAGGGAGCGUAGAUGGGUUGUUAAGUCAGUUGUGAAAGUUUGCGGCUCAACCGUAAAAUUGCAAUUGAUACUGGCAGUCUUGAGUACAGUUGAGGUAGGCGGAAUUCGUGGUGUAGCGGUGAAAUGCUUAGAUAUCACGAAGAACUCCGAUUGCGAAGGCAGCUUACUAAACUGCCACUGACAUUGAUGCUCGAAAGUGUGGGUAUCAAACAGGAUUAGAUACCCCGGUAGUC
rnacentral:rRNA from 1 species